rnacentral:rRNA from 1 species
GUGGAUUAGAUACCCUGGUAGUCCACGCUGUAAACGGUGAGUGCUGGGUGUGGGAGGUGUAAUGCCUUCUGUGCCGAAGCUAACGCGUUAAGCACUCCGCCUGGGGAGUACGGCCGCAAGGUUGAAACUCAAAGGAAUUGACGGGGGCCCGCACAAGCGGUGGAGCAUGUGGUUUAAUUCGACGCAACGCGAAAAACCUUACCUGGGCUUGACAUGGAGAGAAUCUUCUGGAAACAGAAGAGUGCCUCGUAAGAGGAGCUCUCACACAGGUGCUGCACGGCUGUCGUCAACU